AGUGAACGCUGGCGGUAGGCCUAACACAUGCAAGUCGAACGGCAGCACAGUAAGAGCUUGCUCUUACGGGUGGCGAGUGGCGGACGGGUGAGGAAUACAUCGGAAUCUACUUUUUCGUGGGGGAUAACGUAGGGAAACUUACGCUAAUACCGCAUACGACCUACGGGUGAAAGCAGGGGAUCUUCGGACCUUGCGCGAUUGAAUGAGCCGGUGUCGGAUUAGCUAGUUGGCGGGGUAAAGGCCCACCAAGGCGCCGAUCCGUAGCUGGUCUGAGAGGAUGACGCGCCCAGAGGGAAGAGGGCAACGGUCCGACCCCCAUGGGGGGGAGAGUGGGGGGGAAUGUGGCAGUGGGGGGGAGGGCAGAACCGGCCAAACCCGGGUGGUGAGAAGGCCCGUGGGGUUUGAAGGCCUUUUUGUUGGAAAAGAAAAGCAGCCGGUAAAAACCCCGUGUUUUGACGGUAACCAAAGAAAAAGCCACGGCUAACCUCGGG
rnacentral:rRNA from 1 species